AUAAGGAUAGUUAAAAUGAUAAUACCGAACUUGCACUUCGGAGUUGAGGCUUAGCCUCUCUUUAUA
rnacentral:tRNA from 1 species